CGUUUCUCCUCGAUCUUAAUCAUAAACAGCGGCACGAGUUUCUCCUUCAGUAGCUCAGCUUAACCAGCGUGUAAAAUUUGCUGUACUCUUCGUGGAUCAACUCUUCAUCGCACUGCGACAUACGGGAGACGUAACUGAGCCGAUGCCAUCAGCCUACCCAAGCGAAUUGUCCACCGAACUGGUCAGGCUGUUGAACGUCAACGUCAGAUUGUGAUGCUUAUCCUCAUUCUCCAAGUUGUUGUACGAUGAUUCCGGACCCGGCUUGCCUAGCGGCAGUAAGCCUUCCUCUCGCAGGGAAGCGUCUGAUUCUAACUGGUGUACAGUAUGCUGAUCGCGUUCCCAUCGUAGUGAAUCACUUCCUCGAGGUACUUUCCAUCCGACCUGCGUGGUCCACACGGAAUCGGAAGUGUGAAAAGUCAGUCCGAUGACUGGAACUUUCGGCACACUGAGAAAAACGUUGGCGCACAAUAAGUGUGUAGAGUGCCGGUUACAAGUAUGAACGUAAACUCAGAAAAUGAAUUUCCUGGUUUUGAGGUAAAGUCUGGUCCACUUAGAAUCCGAACACUUUAUUUAUUCUAUAGCAGACCCUCUAGUGUUCGGAUUUGGAAUGUUUUGACAGCGAUUUGUUUUGAAAGUACACGUUUCGUCUCGAUACGUACCGUAAUAAAAAAAAAGUUGUACUAGAUGGAAGACGAGAAAAUAAAAUUGAUCCUGCACACCCACGUCGAAAACUCGACGUGGUCAAUUCAAAAUAUCGUGAAAAAGUUGAAAACUGCCCUUUCCACUGUAGGAGAAGGUUCAAGGCAAACGUCGCGCUGGGAUUUCGCCAAAAAAAUACGGUGCCAGCCGUAGUACCGUCCGGAGGAUCCAUCUGCGAGCAUUCUGUUUCUCCAAGCAACCGAACAGGACGAUGAAGCAGAACCUAGUGGCCAGAACACGUGUAUUGUCGUCAAGCUAAACAGCGUCCGCACUUCUACUAGCAAUUUAUCGGCGUCACGCAUACAUAUGACGUGUAUGCUGCUUGCUAGUCUAUCCAUUCCAAUCACCAGAAAACGGUUUGAAAACCUUCCGAAGUUUAGUGGGAACGAAUCACGCUGGAUAUCGUUCCGAGAUAAUUUCCUUUCCAUGAUCCACAGCAACGAUGAAAUUCCGACAGUUAACAAGCUUCAAUACCUGCUGCAGUCGUUAGAAGGAGAUGCCAACAAGCCGUUUGAGAGUGUCGAUAUUCAAGCGGACAACUAUGCGUCGACCUGGGAUGCCCUGAUGAAAAGGUACGACGAUAAACGGUUCCUCAGGAAAGAGUUGUUUAGAGGAUUGUUCGAUCUACCAUUGAUGAAGCGUGAGUCGGCACACGAGCUGAAUACUCUUGUCGACGACUUUCAACGGCACGUCAAGGCUUUGGGCAAACUCGGUGAGCCUAUAAAGCACUGGGACACUCCACUCACCUUCAUCCUCUGUAACAAGCUCGAUGUAUCCACGCUGCGUUCCUGGGAGCAUGAAACUCGUCAGAAGGAAGAGGUCAAAUAUGAUGAGUUAGUAGAGUUCCUCAUACAGCACGUACGAAUGCUCAAGUCAGUUUCCAGUGAUCUACAGCAUCGUUCCCAAGGGGCUACCAUCAAGGUGGCUGGUACAAUUCCCAAAAAAUCGACUUCAGUCAAGUCCAUUGCAAACGCUGCAACGAAUGAAUCUAAUUCGAACGCUCUACAAUGCCAUGCCUGCGCACAGAAGCACCAACUCUAUCAAUGUCCAACGUUUGCCAAUCUUAGUGUCAAGCAACGUCGAGAAUUGAUCUCCCAGCGAAGCUUGUGUUGGAACUGCUUCCGCCCAAAUCACCAAGCAAAGAUCUGCAAAUCUAGGUUCUCGUGCAGAACGUGUCACGCUAGGCACCACACGUUGUUGCAUGACCAAGCUGCUCCAAAGAUCACACCAAAUCCUGCCACCAAAUCAACUCCUGCUAACUCGUCGAAUUCUGCUCCGCAACAACAAACUCCAUCCACGUCGGGGAACGUGGGGACCGCUGGAUCAUCUAAUCCACCCGAAGUGAACCUCUCCGUUCAAUCUCGCCAUAGUACGGUCCUACUGGAAACGGUUGUUCUGACCAUCGAAGACAAACACGGCAAGGAAGUUCGUGUUAGAGCCCUACUCGAUUCAGCAGCGAUGUCCAACUUCAUCACGAAGAAACUGGCAAACACACUUGCCACCCGUCAAGCUUCCGUGGACAUUGCUGAUGCUGGAAUUGGAGAAUCCGUCAAGCAAAUCAAACGGCAAAUCACUGCCACGAUCAAGUCACGGACAAGCUCCUAUUCCACCACACUCGAAUUUCUCAUAAUGAAGAAGCCAACCGCUAAUCUGCCAACAAUUGCCAUCAAUACCGCUAUGUGGAACAUGCCAAACGUUCCACUAGCCGAUCCGCAUUUCAACAUUCCGGGCAUGGUCGACAUCAUUAUCGGUGGAGAAUGCUAUCAUGAAUCAAUUUGUCAAUCGGUGACGGUCUACCACUACUGGUCGACACGCUUUUCGGGUGGACAGCUUCUGGGAGAACAUCCACCAAUUCCUCUGUCGUACCACCAGUCUGUUACCUAUCAACCGUCGAUCGAUCUUUCGAAACAGCAAUUCAACGUUUCUGGGAGCUAGAAGCCGUCGACCAUGGCCCAACGUAUUCCACUGAGGAAAAAGAAUGCGAAGAAUGUUAUGCCACUACUACCACCCGAACUCACUCAGGAAGGUACGUCGUACGCCUUCCUCGGUCCGAAGAUCCGCAAGUCACCCUCGGUCAAUCUCGAGCAAUUGCCACCCGCCGAUUCUACAGCCUCGAAAGACGCUUCGAAAGAGAUCCCGCCUUAAAGCAAAAGUACCACGCAUUCAUCGAAGAAUCAUCACUACUUCUAACAACAGCUGAUCUGACAGCCUCCGACUGUGCCUUGGUCCGAUUAGCUCAACAACAGCUCUAUUCAGAAGAAUUAGCAGAUCUCAGCAGCUCAGCAAUUGUGAAGACUCCUCCGAUGAAAUGGUUACAUCCAUACCUCAGCGACGACGGACUUAUUCGUGUCGGUGGGCGACUUGCCAAUGCUGAUGUUCCAGAAGCACGCAAACAUCCUAUCAUUCUGUCGGUCAAGCAUCCGUUGACUAGUUUGCUUUCUGAACGCUAUCAUAAGACACUCCUCCACGCUGGACCCCAGCUGAUGUUGUCCACCAUACGCCAGAAAUACUGGAUUAUUGGAGGGAGAGAUCUUGUUCGCUACACCUAUCACCGAUGCAUCAAAUGUUUCCGCACCAAGCCGAGUCUCGUCAAGCAAAGCACUGCUGAUCUGCCAAGGUCUCGUGUCGUACCAGCUCGCCCAUUCUCAAAUAGUGGCGUAGAUUACUGUGGCCCAAUAUUUCUCAAGUCCCCAGUGCGUAACCGCGCACCUAUCAAGGCAUAUAUUGCGAUCUUCGUGUGUUUCACCACAAGAGCCGAACUGGUAUCAGACCUCUCAACGCCAGCAUUUCUUUCCGCUCUCCGUCGCUUCGUUGCUCGCCGUGGCCGCAUUCAGGAACUCCAUUCCGACAAUGGAACGGCCUUCAAGGGAGCAUCGAAUUCACUUCACCGCAUCUAUGACAUGCUGAAGCUCAACGACACUGAUCGAGAUACCAUCUUCAACUAGUGUGCAGAGCAAGAAAUCCAGUGGAAGUUUAUUCCACCACGGGCUCCACACUUCGGAGGACUGUGGGAAGCAGCCGUGAAAUCAUGCAAGCACCAUCUCCUGCGAGAAAUCGGUCAGACGUCACUAAGCCCUGAAGACAUGACAACCUUACUUGCACAAAUCGAAAUGUGCCUAAAUUCUCGUCCUUUGACUCCGAUUCCGACCGAUUCUGCUGACUUAGAGGUUCUAACACCAGGCCAUUUUCUUGUUGGCUCGAAUCUCCAAGCUGUUCCGGAAGUAAAUGUCGUCGAUAUACCAAACAAUCGUCUAGACCACUGGCAACGCACUCAACAGUUGCUUCAGCGUAUCUGGAACCGAUGGUAUCCGGAAUAUCUUGCCCAAUUGCAAUCGCGAGCCAAGAAGGGUUGCCGUUCACCGGUUAAAAUUCAAGUCGGACAGAUCGUGAUUGUGAAGGACGAAAAUCUUCCACCAGCGCAAUGGCCCUUGGGUCGUAUAACAAAGCUCCAUUCAGGAAAAGACGGAAUCGUCCGUGUAGUCAGCAUGAAAACUGCCACAUCCGACAACGUUGUACGACCAGUUGCCAAAAUCGCCCUAUUACCGUUGCCAACCGAACCUGAUGAUCAGCAAUAACAAAUUGCAAGCAGAAACUCCAAAGACCGGUAGAGCAGUCCGAAACUUGCUCGAUGCGUAUUUGGACAGCCAUCAGGUGAUUGGCGUUCCAACAUCUUUAUUAUCUCCUGUGCGUUCUACCGGGUCUUUUAUUUUACAGAUCAUCAUUCUACUCUCCUCGCUUCAUUCUACGAGCUUCAACUUCGUCCACUCGGCUAAGCAGUCUACUGAAUGAGACCAUUCAAUCACCGUUCAACCGAUGAAUGAUAUCAACGAUCGUCAGCAUCAUCGUGUUCAUCAUCCCGAAGUUUGCCGAUUUCGAAGAGAGAGUUGUGAGAAGAUAAGUAUUGUGAGAGUUUGAAGCAGUGUGACUGUUUCAAGGUGGCCGGAAUAAUCAGUACGCUGAUUAUGUAUAUAGUUCGCUUUAUGUAUUUUAACUUGUAAAUAGUAAUUAAGUAAUUUAAUCAUAAGCAAAACUUGAAUUCUUUGAACAAAAUUGAAUUCAAACUGACAUAACAACUGCACGCGAUCACUGUAAAUAUUCUAUUCUCUAUCCGUGCAAAGCCAUUAGCAAAUUGAAUUCAGUUGCAAAUAUACAGCAGGAGCGUUCGGUAUCUAUCCCGUUGGCGUCGCCUUAACCUCAAUCUACCUGUCCACCAACUCUCAAAACAUAAACAAUUAUCAAAAUAUUGCUUGCAAUGGAUAGAUAUCGAGUUAACUAGAAGAUUAAGUGUGUUUUUCAACCGAUUCGAGUAUGAAUAUGGCAUUAAAUCUGUUUUUGAAAGUUGGUGCACAGGUAAAAAGUGAGGUUACGCGACGCCAC